UAAGACAAGGGCACCUCUUGUUGGAGAUCCCUGUGUGCAUGAGGCCUUCUAAAGGUGAGCAGUGCUUUACCUCUGUUUCUGUAUCUGUGGUGGCUGCAUUUGGGCUUGUUCUCAUUUGCUGUUUCCAAAGACUUUGCUACCCCUCUAUUAUCACUGUACUUUCCAUCCCAUUAUAGCAUUACAGUGGGGGUGAUUGGAGUUAACAGGAGCCCAUGACCAGCUGAGUAUGGAAUGCUCCUCUGGUGCAGAAGAUCACAUCAUCACUUUAUCAUUGCUCCAGAUCUCUGGCGGACCCAAGACCUUCUGGCUAGACACAGAACUGGAGAUGCUCAUGUGAAAAAAAGCCAUAUAGAAAUGAUACACAAGUGAUAAAAGCUCUGAGUUCUCAAAAGAGUUACAGACAAGUCAUGUGCAAGACCCCAGCCCCAUCAUCUCCCACCUGAGUGACAAAGUGCUCAGCACAGCAACUGCACCGUGCCCUUGGGAAA
rnacentral:lncRNA from 1 species